AGGCAGCAGUGGGGAAUAUUGCACAAUGGGCGCAAGCCUGAUGCAGCCAUGCCGCGUGUAUGAAGAAGGCCUUCGGGUUGUAAAGUACUUUCAGCAGUGAGGAAGGUGGGUAUGUUAAUAGCAUAUUCAUUUGACGUUAGCUGCAGAAGAAGCACCGGCUAACUCCGUGCCAGCAGCCGCGGUAAUACGGAGGGUGCGAGCGUUAAUCGGAAUUACUGGGCGUAAAGCGCAUGCAGGUGGUUUGUUAAGUCAGAUGUGAAAGCCCGGGGCUCAACCUCGGAAUUGCAUUUGAAACUGGCAAACUAGAGUACUGUAGAGGGGGUAGAAUUUCAGGUGUAGCGGUGAAAUGCGUAGAGAUCUGAAGGAAUACCGGUGGCGAAGGCGGCCCCCUGGACAGAUACUGACACUCAGAUGCGAAAGCGUGGGGAGCAAACAGGAUUAGAUACCCCUCGUAG
rnacentral:rRNA from 1 species